GACGAACGCUGGCGGCGUGCUUAACACAUGCAAGUCGAACGGAAAGGCCCUGCGUUUGUGGGGUGCUCGAGUGGCGAACGUGUGAGUCACACGUUAGUAACCUGCCCUUGACUUUGGGAUAACUUCAGGAAACUGGGGCUAAUACCGGAUGGAAGCUCCUGCUGCAUGUUGGGGGUUGGAAAGUUUAGGCGGUCGGGGAUGGACUCGCGGCUGAUCCGCUUGUUGGUGGGGUAGUGGCUUACCAAGGCUUUGACGGGUAGCCGGCCUGGGAAGGUGACCGGCGAGAUACGGCCCGAGAUACGGCGGAGAGUAGUACGGGAGGAAGCAGCGCGGAAGACUGAAGACUGGGCCGAAGACUGAGGGAGGAACGUGGCGCGCGGGAUGACGGAAUUCGGGGUGUAACCGGACUUAGCCCGCGCAGAAGCGUGAGUGACGGUAAUGGGUAAAGAAGCACCGGCUAACUACGUG
rnacentral:rRNA from 1 species